rnacentral:rRNA from 1 species
ACCCAUAGGACCUUGAAUUGCUUUUCGGUACGAUCAGUGUUUUCCAGAAUCGUUGACGUGACUAGUAUAUUCUCGCUCCUUCUGUUCCCUGGACUUCACUCUCCCUGGCUUAUCAGAUACCGAGUGGCUGCCCAGAAAGAGUGAGUAUCUGACCAGGAAGCUAGU